AUUGAACGCUGGCGGCAUGCCUUACACAUGCAAGUCGAACGGUAACAGGUCUUCGGAUGCUGACGAAUGGCGAACGGGUGAGUAAUACAUCGGAACGUGCCCGAGAGUGGGGGAUAACGAGGCGAAAGCUUUGCUAAUACCGCAUACGAUCUCAGGAUGAAAGCAGGGGACCGCAAGGCCUUGCGCUCACGGAGCGGCCGAUGGCAGAUUAGGUAGUUGGUGGGAUAAAAGCUUACCAAGCCGACGAUCUGUAGCUGGUCUGAGAGGACGACCAGCCACACUGGGACUGAGACACGGCCCAGACUCCUACGGGAGGCAGCAGUGGGGAGUAUUGGACAAUGGGCGAAAGCCUGAUCCAGCCAUGCCGCGUGUGUGAAGAAGGUCUUCGGGUUGUAAACUGCUUUUGUACGGAACGAAAAGACUCCUUCUAAUAAAGGGGGUCCAUGACGGUACCGUAAGAAUAAGCACCGGCUAACUACGUGCCAGCCGCCGCCGUAACAC
rnacentral:rRNA from 1 species